CGGCGGGCACCCCGGGCCAUGCGGGAGCGCUGGGGCCGCGCGGCAGCAUGAAGGGCGGCGACCGCGCGUACACCCGAGGUCCCUCUUUGGGGUGGCUCUUGGCGAAGUGCUGCUGUUGCUUCCCGUGCAGAGUUUCUGCGGCGCGAAGCGGUUCGCUUGCUCUCCACUCUCAAGGAGCUUCUGACUUGGAUGCGGAGCUGAAGUUUGGGAACUCAGUUACUUACCGGCGACUUUGGAUGCUGGGCUCCAGCCUGCAGAGGGCUUGGGGCGCGGAUGCGGGGAAGAGGGAGAGGCCGCUCGGAGCUCCGCGCGUCCCUGUAGUGGCAGAGUUACACUUUCCUGCUCUCAUUUACAUAUGGACCUCAGCCGCGGGGUUAACAGAUGACUCUUAGCUAUAGGAAUGUGUCUGACACUUGUCUCUACACCAGGAACUAUUUUUGCCAAGUGACAACUUUCUUUGGGGACUAGAGCGGGCUUUUCUCUGCCUGGGCUUUGGCAGGUCAGCGUGGAUCUGCAGCUCUGGGCCGGAGCUUGGCUCAUUAAUUAACCAAGAACUCUCUAUGUACCCAAUUAGGACUGUAUUUAAUUAUUCUGCUAAUUUUAGUGUUGUCGAGGAGACUUGCAGGAAGCAACUAAUUUCCCCAGAAUCAGCCUGCAAAACACGAUGGUGAGGAUGACAGAAGGAAAGUUAUCAAUGUGUAGCCUAUCCUGAAAAAGAAAUCGAGCCCUUGCUAGACAGAGUUAACAGAUGUUCCUAACACAGUUUAUGUCACUUUAAUGCCUCAGCUUGGAGGGUCGGGGAGAUUCUGUUUCUGUGUGGUUAGAAGUAAGAAUAUAGGCUCUCACUUGACAUAAGCCCUUUUAAAAUUUCACCUGUUGGGUGUCUCGCCUCCACUCUUAUUUGCAAUGCCCCAGUCUCCUUACCCAUCCUCGCCUAACGAGUCCUGAUGGAACUCUCUGGGAGUUACUGGUGAAUAAACUUCAUCCAAGUGA